CAAGUGGAUGCUUUCUCACAUUGAAGAUGCUCAUUAUGAUCUAAGAAAGCCGGUCUUUUUCACUGAAUAUGGAUUCUCUAAUCUGACCAAUGACUUCCAGCAUUCUCAACGUGAGCAGUUUUACAAAACUGUUUUAGACAUUAUCUAUAAAUCCGCAAAGAGAAAACGAGCUGGUGCAGGUGCAUUGGUCUGGCAAUUGUUUGU
rnacentral:misc_RNA from 1 species